rnacentral:rRNA from 1 species
UACGAGGGGUGCAAGCGUUGCUCGGAAUUAUUGGGCGUAAAGGGUAGGUAGGUGGUCUCAUUUGUCCGGGGUGAAAGCCUUGAGCUUAACUCAAGAAGUGCCUCGGAAACGGUGAGACUAGAGUCUUGGAGAGGGUCGUGGAAUUCCCGGUGUAGCGGUGAAAUGCGUAGAGAUCGGGAGGAACACCAGUGGCGAAGGCGGCUACCUGGACCAGCACUGACACUGAGGCACGAAAGCGUGGGGAGCAAACAGG